AUAACUUUCUGGGCUUUUCCUUCUCUCUCUAUCGGCUCUAUCGAAAACCCUAGAUUUGUUCUGCAAAAUGGUCUCUGAAAAAUCACUUCUUUUCUUCUUUGGAGCAUUAGAUCGGGUGUUUUCUUCAAUGGGUAGAUCGACCCAGAUCUAACCAAACUGAAAUUACCGAACUUUUCGUGUUCUUGUUCUUGUGCUUGUCUUCCUAUUGUUUAAAGUCUGAAUCUUUUCAGUGAGGUGAGUUAUGAUUUUGGGAACAAACUGAAUCUGACAGAAGAGAGUGAGCACACAAAGGCACUUGCAUGUUUAUGCAUUUGCUUCUCUUGCGUGCUCACUCCUCUUUCUGUCAGAUUCCGACACCGGAUUCUCGUUUCCUCGGUUUUUGUCCCGAUCUCUCUCUCUCUGUUCUUGCAAUUUGUUUUUAUGUUCUUCGUUUGAUUUGAAUGCUUAUAUCGUUUGUAGAUUUGGUUAAGCUAUCUGCAUCCGGUCCUUCUGCGUUAUAUUUCAUGAGAAUAAUAGUAUCUGAGAAGCUUAAAUCUAUGACUCUAAGGCAUGGCUUUAACCUUGCAGGUUCACGAUGAAAUUGGCAUGGGACCAUUAAACGUUAAACUAGUUUUAUUAGGCUGGUCCUAACCCUUUUGUGAGUCUAUAAUUUCUCGAUAUUCAUGUAAUAUUAUAUGCUUUCUUCACCACUCUUUUAACCCGAUUUGCUUUGAUUCAAAUAUAUUUUCCUUGGCUCAUGUGAUAUUGUCUCAUGUGUAGGCAUGAAUCUUUCAAGCUCAUGAUCUUCGCACUUUGAAUGGGUGGUGUCUUUUCUGAUUAUUUAUUAAUGUUACAUGUCGAUUCCAUGAUGUAUCUAAUUAUAAGUUUCUUAUUGACAUUGAAAAGUGUCCAUCUUUGAUUUCAUGUGAUCACGUUUAAGGAUGCAUGUGAAUGAAUCUUGUGAGAAUAUUCUUAGAAAACGCGUGUUCUUAUAGCAUCUCAAUCACCAUAACAUAUACAGACAUCUUGCAUGCCUACACAUGCCCAUGUCAUGUGUGCAUGUUUGUAUGUUCUUGAAUCAUGUAGUAUAUGUUUUUUCUUUGGUUCCUUACAAAGCUAUAUACAUUUAUGUAGUAUAUGUCAUUCACAAUGUUAGUUAGCAGUUUUUUUGGUGUCAUGAAAUCAAACAAGAAUUUGGUUCUCUCUAGUUUAUAUUUUCUUGUGAUUUUUGCAUAUUUUUCAUACGUAUACAUAAAUGAUAUUCUUUUUCCGUGUGUAGAUGUUUUUCAAAGACGUUUAAUCCAAUGAAUGUGAGUGAAAUUGGUUGUGUUAUCAAAUGAAUGAGAUUUGCAUAUUUGUUAUACAUGUAUAUAACUUUAUCAUAAAUGGUAAGGUUCUCUCAUACAAACCUUAUCAUUCAACAUAUCUUAACUUUGUGGUAUUGCUAAUUUCUAUAUAAUUUACAUAUGUAGAUGUAAUAUAUAGGUGUACUGUUUGCUUGUGACUUCUAUAUAUUAUUAACUGUAUAUGUUUUCAAAUUCUGAAAUUCGAGGCCGGUAUGUGUGGACAUGUUCCGAAAUAAACUUUGGGUCAAGGCGAUAUUAAUUGAUGUUGUAUGUGCACUUGUUGUAAUUUCCUUGUUUUGGCUUCGUUUGUUCCUGUUUAUUUCUUGGCAACUUAUAAAGUGAUUGUGCAAAUCACCCAAAGUGUUCACACUAUGUCUUUGGUCCUUAAAGAGUUGUCAUGUCGUUGAAUUGCCGCGUGCAUGCUGCUUUGCCUUGCGUUGGGGAAGCCUUAUAUGAAUUGGGUUCGGUACUUGUGAUGUAUAUAUGUGAUGGUUGAGGGAGCAAGGGUGUAUCUUGAAUUGAUUCGUUAUAAUAUGGAAGGAGAAUAGAUGACAUCUAUUUUUGUUCAAGAGUUUGAUGUUAAAUGAUUCAACUUUGCCAAUUUGGACCGAUAUUUGAUUCUUGAUAUUGUUACAUUUUGUAGAAUACUACUUUCUUUCCCUCUUUUUGAAUCGAGAUGGCCAACAUCAUUGGCAAACACAUGAUAUACGUAUGCGUGUACAUACGUAUGUGUACUUUUGAUUCCCACCUUGAAUCUUGCAUCGGUUGUGUAAUAGACUAUAACGUGAGACCGGUGAAUUUAUUUCCAUAUCCGAAAGGUCGUGGGUUCUCAAUAAAUCUUACUGUCAUGUAAAAAAAAGUCUUUAGAACAUGAACUUCUACUAGUUUAUCUA